rnacentral:rRNA from 1 species
UGAGGAAUAUUGGUCAAUGGACGCAAGUCUGAACCAGCCAAGUAGCGUGCAGGAUGACGGCCCUAUGGGUUGUAAACUGCUUUUAUAUGGGGAUAAAGGAGUCCACGUGUGGAUUUUUGCAGGUACCGCAUGAAUAAGGACCGGCUAAUUCCGUGCCAGCAGCCGCGGUAAUACGGAAGGUCCGGGCGUUAUCCGGAUUUAUUGGGUUUAAAGGGAGCGUAGGCCGCGUUUUAAGCGUGUUGUGAAAUGUAGACGCCCAACGUCUGCAUCGCAGCGCGAACAGGGACGCUUGAGUACGCGCAACGGUGGCGGAAUUCGUCGUGUAGCGGUGAAAUGCUUAGAUAUGACGAGGAACUCCGAUUGCGAAGGCAGCUGACGGGAGCGGCACUGACGCUUAAGCUCGAAGGUGCGGGUAUCAAACAGG